UACGAAGGGGGCUAGCGUUGCUCGGAAUCACUGGGCGUAAAGCGCACGUAGGCGGAUUGCUAAGUCAGGGGUGAAAUCCUGGAGCUCAACUCCAGAACUGCCCUUGAUACUGGCGGUCUCGAGUCCGGGAGAGGUGAGUGGAACUGCGAGUGUAGAGGUGAAAUUCGUAGAUAUUCGCAAGAACACCAGUGGCGAAGGCGGCUCACUGGCCCGGUACUGACGCUGAGGUGCGAAAAGCGUGGGGAGCA
rnacentral:rRNA from 1 species